rnacentral:rRNA from 1 species
GGAGGAAAAGAAACCAACCGGGAUUGCCUCAGUAACGGCGAGUGAAGCGGCAAAAGCUCAAAUUUGAAAUCCUGCGGGAGUUGUAAUUUGAAGGUUUCGGGUUCAGAGGCUGUGUGCGCCCAAGUCCAUUGGAACAUGGCGCCUGGGAGGGUGAGAGCCCCGUCCGGCGCGGCACAGUUCUCGUUGCGGCCUGAUUCCGACGAGUCGAGUUGUUUGGGAAUGCAGCUCAAAGUGGGUGGUAAAUUCCAUCUAAAGCUAAAUAUUGGCGAGAGACCGAUAGCGAACAAGUACAGUGAUGGAAAGAUGAAAAGCACUUUGAAAAGAGAGUGAAACAGUACGUGAAAUUGUUGAAAGGGAAGGGCUUGCAAGCAGACACGGUUUCGGCCGGGCCAGCAUCGGUUUGCUGGGGCGGAUAAUGCGGCGGGAAUGUGGCACGCGCCCUCUUGGCGUGUGUGUUAUAGCCCGACGAGAUACGCCCAUGGCAGACCGAGGCCUGC